rnacentral:rRNA from 1 species
UCAAAGAUAAAAAGGCUUAUGGUGGAUACCUAGGCAUCCAAAGACGAUGAAGGGCGUGGAAACCGACGAAACGCUUCGAGGAGCUGGAAACAAGCAAUGAUUCGGAGAUUCCCGAAUAGGGCAACCUCUUGUACUUCCUUUUGAAUUCAUAAAAAGGAAAGAGAUAACCCGGUGAAUUGAAACAUCUUAGUAGCCGGAGGAAAAUAAAGCAAACGCGAUUCCCGUAGUAGCGGCGAGCGAACUGGGAACAGCCUAAACCAGCGUCACUUUUAGUGAUGUCGGGGUAGUGGGAAGAAACAAUGUUUUUUAAAUUUCUUUAUUUAUUAUAACCAAUCACUGACAUCUCUGACAUCUCCUUUGGAGAUGUUUGAAGAUGUCAGUGAUGUUAUAAAAUUUUGAGCAAUCUACAAACUUAGCUAAACGAAGCAGCUGAAUCCUGCACCAGAGACGGUGAAAGUCCGGUAGUUUAAAGUUAAGUCAUUAAAAAACAAUUCUUAUCCCGAGUAGCAUGGGGCACGUGAAAUCCCGUGUGAAUCAGCGAGGACCACCUCGUAAGGCUAAAUACUCUUGGAUGACCGAUAGCGAAAUAGUACCGUGAGGGAAAGGUGAAAAGAACCCCUGUAGGGGAGUGAAAUAGAACAUGAAACCGUAAGCUGUCAAGCAGUGGGAGAAUAUUUAACAAAACUUUGUUUUGUUUCAAGUUUGACCGCGUGCCUGUUGAAGAAUGAGCCGGCGACUUAUAAGGAGUGGCUUGGUUAAGAGAAAAACUCGAAGCCAAAGCGAAAGCGAGUCUUAAUAGGGCAAUAAAAUUGUCACUUCUUAUGGACCCGAACCCGGGUGAUCUAAUCAUGGCCAGGAUGAAGCUUGGGUUAAACCAAGUGGAGGUCCGAACCGACCGAUGUUGAAAAAUCGGCGGAUGAGUUGUGAUUAGGGGUGAAAUGCCAAUCGAACUCGGAGCUAGCUGGAUCUCCCCGAAAUGCGUUGAGGCGCAGCGGUUAACGAUGGGCUGCCUAGGGGUAAAGCACUGUUUCGGUGCGGGCUGCGAGAGCGGUACCAAAUCGUAGCAAACUAAGAAUACUAGGCAUUGCUUUCCGUUAACCAGUGAGACAGUGGGGGAUAAGCUUCAUUGUCGAGAGGGAAACAGCCCAGAUCACCAGCUAAGGCCCCAAAAUGACCGCUAAGUGGUAAAGGAGGUGAGAAUGCUGAAACAACCAGGAGGUUUGCUUAGAAGCAGCCACCCUUUAAAGAGUGCGUAAUAGCUCACUGGUGGAGCGUUCUUGCGCCGAAAAUGAACGGGACUAAGCGGUCUGCCGAAGCUGUGGGUAAUAUCAAAAAACAACGAAAAACUUUAAAAUCUUCUUUUUUACAUCGAUUUUAACAUCACCCCUGGUGAUGUCAGAUCUAUCAGAUGUCAGUAUUUUUUAAAAUGUUUAAUUUGAUGUUACGGUAGGGGAGCGUUCCGCUCUAGGGUGAAGCUCCAACGUAAGUUGGUGUGGACAAAGCGGAAGUGAGAAUGUCGGCUUGAGUAACGAAAACAUUGGUGAGAAUCCAAUGCCCCGAAAACCUAAGGCUUCCUCCACUAGGCUCGUCCAUGGGGGGUUAGUCGGGACCUAAGGCCAGGCCGAAAGGCGUAGUCGAUGGAAAACAGGUUAAUAUUCCUGUACUUCUUUUUAAGUGGUACCGAGGGACGAAGGAGGGAACGGUUGGUCAAUAUUGGCUGUUGGCGGAAACGUUCAAGGUGAUGAAAGAUAGAAUAAAAACUAUUCUUGAGCUGAGACGUGAUACGGUAUUAUUCCCUGUAUGAGAGCUUUGCUCAAAUUCAAAAUAAUACUCAACUAGUUGUCAAACUUCCUAGAAAAGCUCGAACUUCCAAUACUUAAAAAUAACCCGUACCCGAAACCGACACAGGUAGGUAGGUAGAGUAUACCAAGGGGCGCGAGAUAACUCUCUCUAAGGAACUCGGCAAAAUGGCCCCGUAACUUCGGGAGAAGGGGUGCCCUCUGUCUAAUAGAUAAGAGGGCCGCAGUGACCAGGCCCAGGCGACUGUUUACCAAAAACACAGGUCUCCGCUAAGUCGUAAGACAAUAUAUGGGGGCUGACGCCUGCCCAGUGCCGGAAGGUGAAGGAAGUUGGUUACUUGAGCACGCUCAAGGAAGCUGACAACCGAAGCCCCGGUGAACGGCGGCCGUAACUCUGACGGUCCUAAGGUAGCGAAAUUCCUUGUCAGGUAAGUUCUGACCCGCACGAAAGGUGUAACGAUCUGGGCACUGUCUCGGAGAGAGGCUCGGUGAAAUAGACAUGUCCGUGAAGAUGCGGACUACCUGCACCUGGACAGAAAGACCCUAUGAAGCUUUACUGUAGCCUGUAAUUGAAUUUGGGCUUUUCUUGCGCAGUCUAGGUGGGAGGCGUUGAAAGUUUCUUUCCGGAGAAACUAGAGCCAUCAGUGAGAGACCACUCUGGAGAAGCUAGAAUUCUAAUGGCGCUCCUUGAAUCAGGACGCUUGACAGUUUCAGGUGGGCAGUUUGACUGGGGCGGUCGUCUCCUAAAAGGUAACGGAGAUGUGCAAAGGUUCCCUCAGGCUGGACGGAAAUCAGCCGAAGAGUGUAAAGGCAGAAGGGAGCUUGACUGCAAGACCUACAAGUCGAGCAGGGCCGAAAGGCGGCCUUAGUGAUCCGACGGUACCGAGUGGAAGGGCCGUCGCUCAACGGAUAAAAGUUACUCUAGGGAUAGAUUGUUGUCCCGCUUGGUAGUAAUGUCAAGGCAACAAACUGGGUGAAUUGCAAGGAGCGCUAAGUGAAAAAUAUUCAUAUGCUAAUUUGCAGCGAAGCUCAUCGAAAACAUAAAUUAACACUUUCUUUGAAAGUGUUAGUAGGUGAGAACGUUCAACGACUAGAGGGUGAGGAUGUGUUACCAAUAAUCCCUCCACGAGUGCCCGGCAACUUAUAUUUAAAUACUAAUAUUAGUAUAUUAGUAACAAGUUGAUGACAUAGUCUGAACUCCUUGGAAACACGGAGAAACAAGGAUUUAAAUAUCUUUGUGAUAACAUAUUGAACAGGCUGAUCUUCCCCAAGAGUUCACAUCGACGGGAAGGUUUGGCACCUCGAUGUCGGCUCAUCGCAACCUGGGGCGGUAGUACGUCCCAAGGGUUGGGCUGUUCGCCCAUGAAAGCGGUACGUGAGCUGGGUUCAGAACGUAAACAUCAUUGCGUUGAUUAGUAGUAAUAUUAAUCUAGUUUCGGCUUAUAUCGGUGAACCCUUCUUCAGUCAAUUAUAAAAAAUUAAAAAAAAAGCUGAAUGGCAAUACCGAGGGAAGAAUAAAUGAACAAAAUUAAUAAAUUAUCAGAGGUAGAAAAAGCUUAUAUUAGUGGGUUUUUAGAUGGGGAUGGUUCUAUAAAUGGUCAAAUUGUACGAAGAAAAGAUUACCUUUUCAAGUUUCAAAUACGAAUUAGUAUAACUUUUUUUCAAAAAACAUCCAGACAUUGGUUUAUUCUUUGGUUACACAAAAAAUUACAAUUAGGAACAAUUCGAAAAAGACCUGAUGGGAUGUCUGAAUAUACUAUUAUUGGACCCCAAAAUGUUGAAAUAGUUUUAGAACACAUUAAACCUUAUUUAAAAAUUAAACGAAAACAGGCUAUUCUUGCCUUGCACAUUAUUAAAAACAAAUCUAAAUCACAAGAUCUCAACUCUUUUUUAAAGUGUUGUCAACUAGCAGACAAGUUUUCAGUUUUAAAUGAUUCGAAAAAGCGAACCAUUACUUCACUUGUUGUGAGAUCAGAAUUAGGUUUUUUUGAUUGAUUUAUUCCCUGUAGAGACUUCGAUAUAAAUAAUGAAAAAGAUAUCGAGAUAUUUUAUCUGAUUAGGUAAAAUAUAACACGCCGACUCCUUUUAUAUGUUAUUGAGCAAGUUAUAUGUUAUUGAACAAAUAACAAGUAAAUAAAAGGAUGAAGAUAUAGUCCAUGCCUUUUGGAAACUUUAGGAAUUACAUGCGUGAGACAGUUCGGUCCAUAUCCGGUGUAGGCGUUAGAGCAUUGAGAGGAGCCUUCCAUAGUACGAGAGGACCUAGAAGGGCGCACCGCUAGUAUACCAGUUAUCGUUCCAACGGUAAACGCUGGGUAGCCAAGUGCGAAGUGGAUAACUGCUGAAAGCAUCUAAGUAGGAAGCCCACCUCAAGAUGAGUGCUCUCUAGAGGUCUUGGCAAGACAAGCCGUUCGAUAGGUGUCAGGUGGAAGGCCAGUAAUGGUUGAAGCUGAGACAUACUAACAGACCGAUUGAAUUUGAUCUUUUAUAUUUUA